CUCCGUGCGCACCCCAGAGUUCGAACCUUAAGGGUUUUGUCGGAAGCCCAUAUCCGACAUUUGGCGCGCCAGGUAGGGGUGCGCCGGAAUCUUUCUUCCGCCACCCCGCGUUCGAUCGUCCAUCGCAUCCAUGGCUGACGCUCGUCGAGCUCGUGCCGAGCGUCGGGCUGCUCUUGCCGCCUGCGUCGCCCAGACGGCUCCCGUCGGUGGGCCUCCCCGUCAUUCUCCGUCACCUGCCGUCAACGCCACCACCGGCCCGGCGGGGAACGAGCAGCAGGCAUCAUCGCUGCAUCCCUCGGUGCGGCGGGAAGGCCGCACCGCCACUCCGUCGCUGACUCCAGUCGGUUCGUAGUCUCACGCCCGUCGCGCUCCCGCGGACGCGCACGCCGCGUUGCUCCUGGCACGUGAACUCCUGCACUACCGCCCCAUCGACGACCUCUACGCGGAGUGGAUCGCCCACAUCACCGAGCUCGUCAGCGCCGCUGGGGUCUCUCCUGCGCUGUCCCUCUCGCUGCCUCGCCCUCCGUCGUACGCGGGCGAUGCAGCUCAGGGGGCGCCUCCGCCACCUCCUCCCCAAGAAGGUGCCCUGGCCCCAAGGCACACGGCCCCUGGACGAGACCCACCGCGUCCGGCGCCCGUGCGACAAGAAAGGAGCUGCCAAGAAAUCCCUCGCCCCCAAGAAGGCAGUCGCGUGCUGCCUGCUCCAGAGCGCCAAGACCGCAUCCCUGCGCCAGCACGUCAAGACCUCGCGCUGCCCCCAGCAGCGGCGCGCGGGAACCACCAAGAGCUAGCCCAGCUUCAGCAAGGGGGUCCGAUGACCAAGGCAGGUUGCCGCGCCUUCACCACCGAGCUACGUAGCGUCGUGUGGCCCAGCAAGUUCAAGCCAGACCUGCCUCCCUGCUACGACGGCACGGCCGACCCCACGGAGUUCCUGCAGCUCUACGAGCUAGGCAUCGAAGCGGCUAACGGAGAUAAGAAGGUCAUGGCGAAUUGGUUUCCCAUGGUGCUCAAAGAUGGUGCCCGCACCUGGCUCCUGAACCUGCCUCCUGGCACGAUCUCCUCUUGGGACGAGAUGCGCACCCGCUUCAUCGCCAACUUCCAAGGCACUCGCGACCGUCCAUCGGCCGUGGGUGACCUGCGCCGCAUCAAGCAGCAACCAGGAGAGACCCUGCAGAAGUACAUCCAGCACUUCAACAACGCUCUCCUCAAGAUUCCCAAGGUAACUGAGGAGGCCAUCAUCUCAGUGUUCUCUCAUGGUGUCCGUGACGUCAAGAUGAAGGAGGAGCUGGCAAUCCAUGAAGAACUGUGCACAUCUCUGGAGCUGUUCAACCUGGCGACCAAGUGCGCAAGGGCUGAGGAGGGGCGCCUCUCCCUUCUCGAGCUCCCACCUGCUGACCCUGAAGAGAAGAAAGACAAGGCCAAGGAUGUGAAGCGCAAGGGAGCAGCCGUGCUCGCAGCAGAGCCAGACACGAAGCGCGGUAGGGACCGGCCGGAAUCGUCCAAGGGCAGGCGCCGGUACUGCGUGUACCACGACCUCCACACCCACAACACCAGCGAAUGCCAAGAGCUCAGGGCCGUGCGAGAAGGACGUGUAGGUCGACGCCCCGAGCGCAAUGAUCGGGGCUACGGCCGAGGAGGAGGAAGAGGCGGAGGACGAUGGGAUGACCGAGGACCUCGCCAAGGGUGGUGAGACCAACCUCGCGAGGACCGCUGGCAGGACCAGCCUCGUGAGGAGGCUUGGAGGGAUCGGCCUCGUGAGGAUCGCCCACAGGGCAAUGAAGGCCUUCCUCCUCUGCCGCCACCACCAAGAAGGAAUGACGACCAUCACCAGGACGAGGGGGCUGGGGGCUUCCAAGAGCCACGUGCUAUCGCUUGCAUCCUGGGCGGUGCCCAGGCCCCAGCCUCUCAGCGUAUCUUCAAGCAGUUUGCUCGCGAGGUGAACGCGGCCCUCCCUAGGCUCGAGGCCACGCGCCUUCUCAAGUGGUUCGCGUGCGCCAUCAUGUUCAGCUCAGCGGAUCAGCUCAAGUGUGCGGCUACAGCCAGUGUCCUUCCAAUGCUUUGUUCCCCAGUCAUCAGCAAUGUGCAAGUUACCAGGGCCCUCAUCGACGGCGGCGCAGGACUCAACGUCUUGUCCGUCGAGACAUUCAACGACCUCCAGGUGCCUCAUGAUCAGCUUCAGCCAACCAAGCCCUUCUCAGGAGUCACCGAUGGCUCCAACACUCCGAUAGGGUAGAUUCGCCUCCCUGUCACUUUCGGACAGCGCAAGAACUACCGUACCGAGCUCAUCGACUUCGACGUUGCCCACAUCCGCCUGCCAUACAAUGCCAACCUUGGGUACCCGGCCCUGGCCAAGUUCAUGGUAGUGACUCAUCAUGGUUACAAUGUCCUCAAGAUGUCAGGAAGCGGCGGAGUCAUCACGGUCCCAUGCGAAGAGAAAGAUGCAGUGUGUUCUCUCCAACGUGCCUUCCAAGCUGCCUCAGUCGAGGACUGAGACGACAAGAGAGGGAACCUUCCCGAGGCGGUCCUCAAGAAGAAGAAGAAAUCACCCGGCCCAAGGCCUCAAGAGGUUGGCACCUCCGGAGAUGUCGCGUCAGGACCUGCGCCCAUGCAAGGGGCGCCUAGCACAUCGGAAGGCGUGCCUGGCGCCCUCCUCGGGCAAGGCUCGGGGGCUCUCUCUUGGAGGGCCUCCGACUUUGCCAAGCUCACGAGGGAGGCGCUCGGGCACCACUUGGAGGCGUGCUUCGCGGCACGUUUCCCCCAGGAAGGCAUGAGUCAAGAAGGGCCAAACCCUCAGGAAUUCAUCACCAAGGUCACUCAGGAGCUGCAGGAAUCGAGAGUCAUGUGUCAUGCGCGGCAACCGCCGCCUACCUGGCGUGGCUCCCCAUCCAGGAGAGGAUGGCGGGCUGCGCGUCCGCAUCGACUACCCAGGGCUCAGCCGAGUCGCGUCUCAGGACACUACUAGGGAAAAGCCUAGCAGCAGUGCGGGUUUUACGCCUAUCAGUAGCGCGGGCAGGAGCGCUACUGAUACGGCGCUACAACUAAAGGUUAGCAGUAGCGUCGGUUGACAAGCGCUACUGCUACAUCGACUUAGUAGUAGCGCCUUCCCCACGCAGCGCUACUGCUAAUUACUAGCAGCGCCUUUCCAAGCCCGCGCUACUACUAUUAUUCCGUAUUUUAUUUCUUUUUUGUUUCAUGUUGUAUUCAUACACCUCUAUACAAGUUUUCAUACAGCAGCAAUUUAGAGAUCGUUUUUACAUCAUAAUGAGUUAUUACAUCACUGAGUGAAAGAACCGUGGACUAGUUUCAAGUGGAUGGACAUCCACUUGAAACUAAUCCGCGGUCUUUCACGCAAUGAUAUAAUAAAUAUAAUAAUCAUCAUCAUCAUCAUCAUCAUAAUCAUAUCAUUAACAACUUAUCAUCAUAAUACAUCAUUGUCAUAUAACACCUCCUCAUGAUCAUCAUUUUCAUCGAUGAGACAUCACAUAGCAAGUUGGUCACUAGUCAUAAUCACAACUACUCCUCAUCAUCAACUCUAACACACAUUGUACCACAUAAUAAACAUAUUGUACCUCAUAGGGCCUACUACAUUCUAUUAGGACCUACUAUAUUCUCUAAGGUAAAAUAGCAAAAAACAAGAUAGCCCCUGGCUCUCCAUUAUGGAGAAUGGAGAUUAUCCUGUCUCCAAUUCUUGCCUUUCUCUUAAUGUUGCUUCCAAGAACCUCCUUACGAAUGUCCAAACAUUUUUUCCAUUCUUUGAUUAGCAUGUGUUCACCGGUUUUAGAAAUCCGAUAUGCACAGGUGAGAUCUGUAGGAUGACCUGGCAUUAUGUUCAGAACUUCAAGGGGACCAUUCUGAUACAUCAAAUGAGGCACACAAUCCAUCGAGUUUUUCUGUUGAAAAACAUAGUAAUAACUUCGUAGUUAGCAAUGAUGUACUAGUUUUAGAAGUAUGCAAAAGAUGCACGGAUGUCGUAAUAGUAAAAAAUCUUACCAGGGUAUCUCCAUAGAAGUUACCGUGGUUCAACACGUGCACUAGUGGCACGUAUUCACCAUAAUUUGGAGGAGUUCGAUAAUAGGUAUUGUAAUUCUCAAAGUAAGUACAAAAUGCGAUCAGAUGAUUUUUCUCCUUAUAAGUUAAUUCGGAGCCAUCGGUGUAGUGGGUUCUGUCUACCAUGUUCCGCACAUUGUUUGAACAAUCAAAAUAAGCUGUCAAUGGGAAUAAGCUGUCAACUAUUUUGAAAUAAAUAAUAUAAAUUAGUUAAUAACUAUGUUUGAGGAACUCACAUAGCGGUAGAAUCGGAAGCGUAUCAACAAGGACCCAAAUGUCCAUAUUGUUUUGCUCGAUGUCAGGAUCACCAAGAUCCAUGGUGACAAUCAUACCCUCAUAAAAACCAUACAUUUUGCAAAGUGCUUCCCAAUUUUGGCAACCAAAAUGGGUUACGCUCUGAGAAUUGUACAGAUUUACUUCAAAAUCCAAAUCAUGAUGGGUCCUUAGGUGUAUUUUCUUUUAUUCAAAGUUUUCAUGUUCUUCGAAACCCAUCCUCUCCAAGACAUAGCAUCUUGCAUGGCAUGGGAUAAGGUAGUCGAAUUGUAAAAGAUGAAAAUUAGACAUUGAAAUAGUUGAAUUCGUGCUUAAUUACGAAAAAAACACUUGUCGUUGUUGCGUACCAUUUCAACGUUGAAGGUCUCCUCGAGCUUAAUGUUGAAGCGCCGAUCUUCGUCCAGCUCAAGGAACCUGUCGCACAGACCUCGAUCGUCGCGGCACCAGCUGCACUCCCCUGGGAGACUUUCGUCGUCCGAGUACGACAUUUCCUACGUUCAUAAUUCAAAGAUUAAACUUGUACAAUUAAAUAUAUGUACUAAAAAACCUAAAUUAGAUCAUUAUUUUUCGAGAAAAUCCAGGCCACUCGAUAUUUCCUACAUAUUCUAGCACAAGUCAUUCCAGAAUUCACGGAAAAAUCCGGCAUGACCUUUGCUAAAAAAGGACAUAUCGAGCGCCUGAAAUUUGCCGGAACAGAAAUUAAUCAACACUCUGGCAAAACAUAGGCCACUCGGAGGUGUAACCUGAACAUGACCGGCCACUUGGGCAACCACAUAUCCUAUUUGAGCAACACGGGAUAUACAUGUUUUUAUCUCCAUCAUAUAUAUUAUCUUAUAGGACUCAUAUUGACAUGGAGAUUUGAUUGGUCUCACCUCGAGGUCGGAGGGGGUCGGUGACGGGGACGACGGCGGGGAUGAUGGAGGGGCUCCUUGAUUUCUGCAAAAGUGAAAACCCUAUAUAAGUUAUCACUAAUACAUCCCGAAUAAUUGCUUAAACUAGUUCUAUUAAUUCAACUAGUUCUUACUAAAUAUAAAAUUACUAUAAAUAGAAAAAAACUAGUUCUUUCUAAAAAUAAAGUAGUUCAACUAGUUAUAUUAAUUUUCUUACUAAAAAUAUAUUAGUCCUAUUAAUUCAACUAGUUCAACUAGUUUAUUAAUUUUCUUACUAAACUAGUUCAACUAAAACUAAACUAGUUCAACUAGUUUAUUAAUUUACUUACUAAUUAUUGUAAACACUUACUAAAACAGUAAACAAAACUACAUUACACAAUAGUAAAAAACAUCUACUAUUAACCAUACUGCCCUAGUUAACUAGUACCAUCACUACUACUAAUUNNNNNNNNNNNNNNNNNNNNNNNNNNNNNNNNNNNNNNNNNNNNNNNNNNNNNNNNNNNNNNNNNNNNNNNNNNNNNNNNNNNNNNNNNNNNNNNNNNNNNNNNNNNNNNNNNNNNNNNNNNNNNNNNNNNNNNNNNNNNNNNNNNNNNNNNNNNNNNNNNNNNNNNNNNNNNNNNNNNNNNNNNNNNNNNNNNNNNNNNNNNNNNNNNNNNNNNNNNNNNNNNNNNNNNNNNNNNNNNNNNNNNNNNNNNNNNNNNNNNNNNNNNNNNNNNNNNNNNNNNNNNNNNNNNNNNNNNNNNNNNNNNNNNNNNNNNNNNNNNNNNNNNNNNNNNNNNUCGGCGACGGAGAGGUAGGGGCGGCGAGGGCGGGCUCGGGCGGCGGCGGUGAGGUCGAGGGCGGCGACGGUGAGGUCGAGAGCGGUGGCGGGCAGCGGCGGUGAGGUUGAGGGCGGCCUCGGGCGGCGGCGGUGAGGGCAGGCUCGGGCUCGGGCGGCGGCGACAGAGGUAGGGGAACAGGGGGGGGAGGAGGAUUUAGCAAAAUUUUGAGCCCGGGGUGGUUAAGUCGAACUAGCAGUAGCGCACUUUAAGAAACGCGCUAUAACUAAUGUAGCUACAGCGCGUUUUACGGAAACACGCUACUGCUAAGUCUAAGCACGCAUCAAAAAUAUACAUUGGUCAUCAUUGAUCUUUUUGUGUAGAAUCUAAAUAGUCAACAUGAAUCCUCACAGUACCCGUAUAGGCACUGGUGAAGAUUCGUAUUGCAGCCACAAAUCCUACACAUAUAGUUCAAUGAAGACCAAGUGCUCGAGACAGUUUGAGAAGUAACAUAUUUAAGGUGGUAAACACCUUGUUCGCUUAGCAGUAUGAGACUAAACUUAAUUAGGUGCAAUACUUAGCAGCAGCGUGUUUUUCAGAAAAACGCUGCUACUAAGUACUAUAGCAGCAGCGCGUCCCUGGAAGGGCACUACUACUAUAUCUAGCCUGGAGGCAACGCCGUGGCAAUUAUAGUAGUAGCGCUCGUUGCACAUAGAGCGCUACUGCUAUGCUGGUAUUGGUAGCACGGUUUCGCCAAGAUCGCUACUGCUAGUUAGCAGUACCGUCUGUUUUUAAACCGCGCUGCUGCUAAAAUUCUGUGUAUAAGGUUUUCCCUAGUAGUGGGAGCGCUUCUGGCCUUCACGCGUGGGAUGCUGCGAGGGUCCGCCUCACAGCUACGUUCGCAUGCCUUUCAAAAAUGCCGAAUGCGGCUGCGGCCCACCAGCGCCUGAUGCGGAGCAUUCUGGAAGCUCAGGAGGCCAGGCAUCACGCAGUCCUGGCGGAGAUGGAGGCGGUCCUCAGGGAACCGCCUGGGCACCAGAGCCUCUCGAGUCUCAGGGCUCCAGUGGCUCGUAAGGAUCAGCUUCUUCACCACGCAUCGCCAGCUACCCCAACACCCGCUCUGCAAUGACACCAGGUGACAUCUUUCGAGUUUCAUUUCAGCUGGGAGCGCCCUCAGGGCUGCAUUAUUGCCAGGUCGCGUGGGUCCGUCCCUGUGGCGUGUAUCCGUUUUGCUUAUGUCUUAAGUUCACCUUGCCGGGGGCGCCCCUCGGGCUGCAUCAUCCCCAAGAUGCUCGGGCCUGACCCAGCGGCAUGUACCUUUCCUGCAUCUAUCUAAGCUGAUUUGCUUUUCGUGCUUAACCUGCUGCGAUCAUCUCCUGCCGCCCACCACGGGCCUCAAUGCAAAUCGCUUGCGCGUUAAAAGGGGGGCUCCUGAGCAUCGCAACUCAGGAGCUCUUACUUGCUCUCCAGCCCUCACCCCCUGGCCUUGUCCAUGGCAUCGCGACCUGGCAUACCAGCGACGGCUGAGCUCGCUCGAGGGCGGGGACCUGAGGACGUAGAGCAUUUGCAUCUAACCACCUUGCAGGGACAGACAGCCGUCCGCGGCUCAAGACCAGGCGCAACCCGCCUUGAGGUAGGGCCUCGUGAGUCCCGCGCUGGCUCACGGGUGCCCAGAUACACCUCGCACACAGCCGUCUGCGGCUCAAGACCAGGCGCAACCCGCCUUGAGGUAGGGCCUCGUGAGUCCCGCGCUGGCUCACGAGUGCCCAGAUACACCUCGUGCCCUACCGUGCAGGCCACGUGUCAGGGCGGGGCUGUACACGCCCUGGGGGCACCUCCCGGAGGGGGCCCCCUCCCACGCACCAGUGGAAGCACCAUGCUCCGCGCUGGCUGACGACACUGCCCAGGAGCGGCUAUGCCUGUACACAUACGGAAGCGCUAUGCUCCGCGCUAGUGAUAAACAACUAAGGGCAGCUCACGGCUGUACCAACCUCAGGGAGCCCAGAGCUCAACGUCCGGCCUCAUCGCAACGCCUCCCCUCGGGAGCACCGCGCGAGGGGGCUGGACAUGGGGGUCACGCCCGAGCGCACGCCACCCAUCCAGGUCCCUUAGACCUGGUCGUCGCGUGCCUCCCCCGAGCGGAACCAAGGUAUGAAAACCGUUUGAGCGUCAAGGGGGACUCCUGAGCAUCGCGACUCAGGAGCCUAACUGGUCACGUAGCCCCUCACUCCUUGGUCCCGUCCUGGUUUCCGAUCGGGGCUAACGGCGGUUGAGGUAUGUGCGGGGCCGGGCCCUGCCGACGUGGAACGACAGAUCUACUCCUACACCCCCUCCCUAUUUGCCGUUUGAGCGUCAAGGGGGACUCCUGAGCAUCGCGACUCAGGAGCCUAACUUGCCACGUAGCCCCUCACUCCUUGGUUCCGUCCUGGUUUCCGGUCAGGGCUAAUGGCGGCUGAGGCAUGCGCGGGGCCGGGCCCUGCCGACGUAAAACACAAAGCAAAUAGGAAGGAAACCGCAAAAUUUCGCAAAUUCAGAAGCAAAUAUUACAUGCCAUGAAAUGUUCUCAUGAUACCAAACCCAAGUCUAAACGCCUCCACGAGGCACAUUGCAUAUCACAGGAAUUGAAACAGGAAAGAAGCCGCGAGGAGAUCACCCCUGAGCAGCGCCGUCGCUCACGGUGGGGUCAUGCUUGUUAGCCCCACCUCCCGAGGCCGCGGAUCCAGCGGUACCUGCCUUGGGCACGGUGGUGAAGGCGCGGAACUUCGCUAGCAAGGCUUCCGCACGACCCUUCACGGCUUCAGCGGCAGCGGCGGAGUGUGCGGCGUCCACAGGCUCCAGCAGGUGUCAAGGUUGGCGUCGGGGUUGCGAAGGUAGACGUGGGUGAGGAUCCGCGUCAGCGCCGCGGAGGAAAGGACGCGAGCUUCAACCUCGGCCAUUGGGCCGAUGCCAUCCACGACCUCCUCAAGCGCCUCAACCAGGAAGGGAAGCAGCUUGGUAGGGCCGUCGGUGGGCCUGGCUAGCGGCUUAUCCAGACCAUCGUCGUAGAGUGACUGCAGCGCCUUGCAGGAUCUCACCUCGUAACCCUCGAAGGCCGCGCGGUCCUCAGCCAAGACCUUCGCCUGGGCGUCCAGCUCAGUCCUCUCCGCCUUUAGUUUCUGCUCCAGAAUCUUCAGCCGGCUGCGAUCGGCGGCCAGCUCGGCAUCGCGGUCCCCGAUGGCGGCCUCCCCGAGCGUUCAUCUCUUCCUCCUUCGCCUAGCGGUCGCGAACCUCCAUGGCGAGCUCAUCGCGCAAGCCUUACAGCUCGUCCUCCAGCGCCUUGCAGCGGCCUCGGGCAGUUGAAGCAUCGUUCAACGCCACGUCGCGAGCGGCUACGGCCUGGGAGGUGACCUGCUUCUCCUCCUUGGAAGCUGUCACAGCCUGACUCAGCGCCGCUCGGACGGAGGCGUCAGAGCGAACCCAGCCAGAGACCAGCUGUGACACCCAAAAUUUUAUUUGGCCUUUUCAAAAAAUUUAUUUGACUUGAGGGAGGUGAUUUAAAUUUUUCCUUCAAAAGAACCCUCCCUUUCAAAAUGUUUUUAUGGAAAGAGUUUUAUUUGGUUUCACCCAAGACUUGAUUUUGGUCUUGGAGGUUCUUGCUUUUUAUUUUGGACUCAAGCCAAAUUGCCUUUCACUUGGGAAAAAUGUCUUUUGAAAAUUUCUUUGAAAAUGCUCCAUAGCUUUUGGAAUAAUCCUUUACCACUUUCAACAAAUCUCUCAUGCCAUGACCUUAGUGCAAAUCCACUCUCCUAAACCUUCCCUCAUCUUUGGAUCAUGAUUUGCAUCAAAUCCAGCAAGUUGAACCUCCCCAUAUAUUUAUUUUCCAUUUAAAUCUUAUCAAAACAAUUUCUGCCUUCUAUUCUAGCCCUUGGAGAUUUACAAAGGAGCUACCAUUUAUGUUUUGAUUUUUGCCCCCAAACCAAUUCCCCUUCCUAGUCCUUGAGCCCACAACCAAGAUCCAUGAAGAUCCACUGGUAUUCAGUUCAAAUUUUUCAAACUAGACUUGCUGCAAGUUUGGACCAGAUUUGCCAAAUUUGAUGAAAUUCAUUUAAAUUCUUCUCCUAAAAAUCUGAGAAAAAUCAGGCAACCCCUGGGUGCAUUGAGAGGUCACCUCACCAAGUCCCAGCCCCAGGAAAAAAUUUCUCCUUGCCAAAUCAUUCUGUCGAACACCUGCAGAGCAUUGUCAAAAUCAGGUUCAGUCAAAUUCAGAGAACAGUUCAGUGUUGCUGUCGUUUUCUUCAGUGUUCGAUCUCAAUCUCGCCAGUGCCCCGGUGUCGCCUUGCUCCACGUCCCCUCCCCCUUGUUCCUGCGCCGCACGAUCCCCUGGAACCUUGCGGACGUCGGCGACGAGCAGGAGGAGGUGCGCCGCCCCGUGACCGACGGCAGCGGCGGCUUUGCGGCUGCCAGAGAGGGGCGCAGCGUAGACGGCGCCACCCAGCGCCGCCCAAGCCACUGGAGGCCGCCGCGUGGCCACCCACUCCCCAGUGCGCUCUGCCACCCUCGUCGUGAACCGCUGGGCGCGGAGCGCGCUCUCUGCCACCGUCGUGCCCGUGCGGCCACCCCACCGUGGACCGGCGCUAUUACGCCAAGACCGACCGGGAUUAGCAGGGGAACGGGACCAGUAACUCCCACUGAUGCUGCCUGGCCACCUAAACCCCCUGCCAAUCCACUGCCUCGCCGUAAUUGCUCGCCGGAGAUUCUCCGUUCACGGCCACCCCCUCGAUCCGCCUAUAAAUAGAGGCCCCGAGCUUCAACUCGAACCCACACCACCUCUGCACUCCACCUAGACCACACCAAGCCACUGGAAGAGCCCCGAGGGAGCUUUCUUCCCCGACUCCGGCCGCCGCGACCCGCCACGGGAUCCAGCUCGAUUCACUCCCGUGCGUGCACCUCUGCCUCCCAUCUAUUGCCAGUAGCUCUCUAGUGCAUCCCUCCUUCUGACCCGCGCUUCAAUUCGAAGUUUGCAGCACCCACCGGAGUUCUCCACCAUCACAAGUGUCGCCGUCGACGUGGUGCUCUCCGACGCUCGAGUCCACCACCCACCGACGCGGAAGGACACGCUGAAGCUCUUGGUACACUCCGAUCUCCCUGUCUCGCCGUGGUUCGACGCCGGCGACCACCGCAGUCUUCGGGCGCCGGUGAACUUUUUAAACCUGACAUGUGGACCCCCCCUGUCAGCCUCUAUUCUCUUCUCCCUCGAAACGUUUUCUGUUGGCGCCUUCGGGCAAAUACGUUUUCUCUUUGAGCUGGCGCAUUUCUUUCCGAAGCGUUUUCUGUUUUCUCAGUUAAGCCCCUGGAACUUCUCUGUUUCAUUACAGAUAAGUCCCUCGACAGAAACCCUUAUAACUUUUUAAUAAAAAGUGAUUUUUGAGUGAUUCUUUUUCUGACAUUCUUAUAAUUUUGUCUAGUUUUUUAUGGGAUUUAUUUGGAAAUUUUUUGGAACAACUUUUAUGCACGCGUUGGUUUUCACGUUAGUAUGCUUCUUCGCUAUACCGUAGGUUCCGGAAGAGGUGACGGAGCCGCGAACUUCGCCGAGCUAGACUCCGACUUCUCCGAACCAGGAAAGCAUGUUUGAACCUUUGAUAUGAUAGGUGUUUCGCAUGUUUGCGUGAAAGGUUGUGCGUGGCAUAUGAGUAUCGGUGAGUAUCUCGUUGCUUGUGAGGCAACUACCCGUGUGUUCCAAAGUUGCGAUGAUCUCUGAUGAGAGAUGGCCUAAUCAUGUGGUGACAUGAAGGGCAGCAAGGUGGUACUGUUGUAGCAUGCCAGCCUUGCGUCAUCCGACAAUUCCCGACGUUAACGUGGACGGAGUCACGUUAUCGUUCUUCCCCCUUCCGUGCUACCACAUGUUUUCUGCCAGAAUGCGGUUUAGUAAGUUGGUAACCUCUUUCCGUGUACACACCAAACAGAGGGGCCGGGAUGAUGGUUCCAUGGCCCUGGAUUAAAGCCAGUCAUCCGGUCAGGGGGCAUGGGUGUUUCCGGUUGGGACCGAGAGGGGGGGCACCCCUUAGAGCGCGCGUAUAGAAAUUUGAUCCCAUGCUACGCGAGGUUGUAGCCUCCCCGUCUCAAGGUUUUUCUUGAACGUUGCCGAGGGUGAUUCCUGGCUUCGGAAUGUUGAAUGGGUGUGUACUGGUUAGAUGUGUUUCUUCCAAAACACCGUAGACGGAACUAGUCCCCGUGACUACUGAAAUCCGUUGGCUGUGGUUGAAGUACAAACUCUGCAGAGUCAAAUCCUUCCGAGUCAUCAUAUCCAUGGUCAAGUAUCGUGAUCAGCGUAUCCAUGUCUAUGUCAUAACCUCGUAGUAUAUUCUUCGUUCCGGUAAGCAAGCUUGAGUAGUAGACUUGGCUGAACAUUAUUCCUGUGGAUGGACUAACCCUGUUGUUUACCUCAUGUCUGCUUGUUCUCUUGAUAUGAUUUAUAAUUCAUGAACUACUAAGUGUUGAAUAUAAGCCCUUUAUGUGAUGUUGCUCAGACGUCCGACUGUGGCAUGUUUGUCUCUUACUUUCAAUAUAAGCCCUUUACGUGAUGUCGCUCAGACGUCCGACUGUGGCACGCACUGCCUUUAUUUUUCUGUUAUAAGCCCUUUAUGUGGUGUCGCCUCGACGCCCGACUGCGGCAUUAUUAUUCUUGCAGUUUCCUCUCGAGGAGUCAUUCAGACCCUCAUUUUGCACCGGUAUUAUUAUUCUUGCAGUUUCCUCUCGAGGAGUCAUUCAGACCCUCGUUUGGCACCCAGUAUUUAUUUUGGGAUUUCGGGAGGACUACCGCCCGACUUCUCUGUUAUUUCCCUAUGCAUUAUUAUCUCUAUGUCUGAACGCACUUGUUAAUCUAUUCAUAUGCUUCAUGUUUACAUUUGUUAUAUCUUAUGUCUGAACUCUCUUGCGAGUACUUUCAUAGUACUCUCCUGGCUUGUUGAUUUGGCCAGAUGUUGAUGAAGGCGAUCUCAUGGAUGAAGAGUUUGAUAGUGUGUCCGACGCCUAGAGGAGUCCCAGUCAGUCCCGUGCGAUCCUGGAUAUUGGUCACUUGUAUUAUAUACGCUUCCGCCACCCGCAAUAAGUCUCCUCGAGCCUCACUCCGACGCUCGAGGAGCUAUAGUUUUCAGGAGUCAUAUCACCCACUUUGCGGUGAUAUUUCCACCACCGUUGUUAUCGUGAGUUAGUAGUCUUGCCACCCUAUCCGCCGUUAUGUUUUAUCGGCGUUCAUGUAAUAAAUUGUUGAGCAGUCUCCGCUCAACCUUGUAUUAUAUUCAGUACUCCUGGUAUUUUUCUUCUGUGACCAAGAUAUUGUCUACCAGUGAGAAGGAAUUCUUCUUUACUGGUCCGUAAACGGGAUUGGUCUCUCAAUAAAUAUUUUAUUGGAAAACCGGUCGUGACAAGCUUGGUAUCAGAGCCAGGCUGACUGUAGGAAGCCACAAGGUGCGAUCGCUAAUCGGUUAUUAGCGUCUUUUGUGCUUUUCAGCAUUUUGCAAUUGUAGCUAUUUUCUGUUCGUCAUCAUAAAUUUAUGACAUGACUACUCAGAAUUUUUGCCUACUUUUGUAGAUGGCUGGCAGCAACUGCGAGACUCGAGUGUUCACGAACGUGCCGGAGGGGUUUGUCAAACUCCUCGUCUCCAUCACUAAGCUCGUGAUCGGGCCAGCGACUCGUCCGGAGUUCACGCUUUAUCAGCACAAGCUCAGCGACGACGUGUCUAUGCACCAAGCCGUGGUGCAAUUCAAGGGAGGACGUUCUGCAUCUCGCCACUUCCGUUUUGUGGGAAGGGCCAUGCCUACGGAGAGGCAUACCAUGCAGAUGGCUCCCCGUGAGGCGAUAGCUCGCCUUCGGGACAUUCUUCCUACGAUGAAGACUCGUCGCUACCGCUACCUCCCAUGCCAUGUGCCAUACACUUGUCACUAUGCAUUCGCCUGCCAUCGGGGAGAGCGAGAUGAAGCCAUCGAGAUGGUCGUGGAGUACCUCAAGGCUCUGGAGGAAUCCUUUGACAACCUCGUAGAUGAUCUUGUGGUUGCCCGCAUGGACUUAGUCCGGGGCGGUCCUGCCUGCAGGAAGGAGCUUCUCCACACGGCACCGCCUCUGACAUUCGUCUCGUCUUCAGCCUCUUAUGCACCGGCCAUUUUGGCCACUGCUCGCCGUCUGCCUGCCACUGAGGAGUUCGACCGAGUCAUCACUCCUACUCCAGUCAGAGCUGCACCGCCUGCCACACCCGUACUACCACUUGUCGCUCCCGCACCAUCACCGCAGCGCAGUGUUACGCGCCAGGAGCCAGCUAGAGAGGAGGUGGAGGUUGAAUCUCCUGCACCGCUGAGUCUUGCCCUCGGCAAGGGAAAGGACAUCGUCACCAUCUUCGACUGAGAGCGCCGAGUAGCCGCGCGUUAUGUCUGCUUGUAUGAUGUCUUUUAUCUGUACGCUAGUUUGUAUUAGUGUGUUCGCUGCUUUCCGGAAGAGUAUGCUAGUCUAAAUAACAUGUCAGGAUUGUGUACGCACAUCCUGAGUGCUGUAUCGUGUGUUUGCUUUUCGAGUGUAAGAUUUGGGUUAAGCCGUUCUUCUCCGUGCAAAAUCGUUUACGUUUUCUUGAAAAUCUUGAGGUCUUUUAAGUUUUUGCCUUUGCAAGAUUUUCUUUGUGCCACACAGUUCUUCUCAUGAGUUUUGCAAAAUAAUACCCCAGACUGGAAAAAUGUCUCGUCCGUGGACUCGUUCCAUGCCCAAUCAGCCAGAAGAAGUUUAUGGGACACAGACUAGCAACAACUUCACUCAGGGACAGUCCAGUCAACAAGACAGCGAAGCAGCCUUGUCUCAAGUAUGUCGUCUCUUAGAACAAAGCCAGCAAUAGCACCAAGAGAUGAUGAAUCACGUCAUCAAUAUGGGAAACCACCGUGAACCCUAUCAACCUCAUUCCAAGUUGUCUGAGUUACAGAAGACUCGCCCUUCAAAUUUUGCUCACACUGAUAGGCUGCUGGAAGCCGAUGACUGGCUUCGUGAUAUCGAGAGGAAGCUGAUUAUUGCCUAGUGUUCAGAUCAUGAGAAGGUGCUUUAUGCACCACACUACCUUACUGGAGCAGCUGCAGCAUGGUGGGAAAACUUCCUACACAUGCAUCCCAGUGAACACAACAUCACCUGGGAAGAAUUCAAGGAAAGCUUUCGUGGGGCACACAUCCCCAGGAGCAUCAUAAAAAUCAAGAAGAGAGAAUUUGACGAUCUCAAGCAAAGAGGCAUGUCAGUGACAGAAUACAACGGUCAGUUUACCCAGCUGUCUCGUUAUGCCUACGACGAACAUAUGACUGAGAACAAGAGGAUGGAGAAAUUCUUGGACGGCCUGGCACCGACGUUAAGAUGCCAACUAGUCGUGCACACUUUCCCGGAUUUUAAAACUCUGGUUGACAAGGCCAUUACCUUGGAGAAUGAGCGCCGCAGCCUGGAGGAUAUCCGUAAGCGAAAGAGGGACAAGACGACUCUUGCUUGCAACAACCGAAGCAAGACUGAGGUUCCAAGGACAGAAGCAAGGAAAUCCACGACUACUGAUCUAAGGCCCAUCCGACAGUUUCAUGCCAGGGACAAGGAGUUCACAUACCGUCCAGGGGUCACAAGCUAUGCUUGUGGAGAAGAAGGGCACUAUGCUAAACAGUGCCCAAAACCGAGGAACUCGGCCCCCAAGCCGAACAAUGGUGGAAACAAUCCAGCCCCCAAGUGCAACAAUUUCAAUCCCAACAACAACCACAGGAAGGGUCACCUGAACCAUGUGACUAGGGAAGAAGCUCAGAAUGCCCCAGACAUCGUGCUCGGUACGUUCCCUGUCAACACAGUACCUGCCACGGUUUUGUUUGAUUCUGGAGCUUCCCAUUCGUUUGUUUCGAAGAGUUUUGUUUUGCAACAUGGUUUUCCGAUACUUCCCUUGGAAAAAAUCUAUGAUCAUCAAGUCCCCCGGAAAUAAGCAAAUCGCUCAGAGUUACUGCCAAGGAGUAAUCAUUGAGUUCGAAGGACUAAAGUUCCAAGCAAAUCUCAUCGUGUUGGAAAAUAAAGGACUGGAUGUCAUUUUAGGGAUGGACUGGUUAACCACCAACAAAGGAUUCAUUGACUGUUUCAAUCGGACCGUGAUUCUCACUCACCAUCAUGGCAAGACAAUAAAGGUUAUAGCUCAAGAAAGGGCACGGUCAUGGCAACCAAAACUAAACAAAGUGGACAUUUCAGAACGGAGAAAAGUUCCAGUGGUAUGCGAGUUCCCUGACGUAUUUCCUGAAGAACUACCAGGCAUGCCACCAGACCGAGAAAUAGAAUUCAGCAUCGAACUAGCACCUGGCACCGCUCCCAUCUAUAAGAAACCUUAUAGGAUGGCACCCUCAGAAUUGGUGGAGUUGAAGAAGCAGAUAAAGGAAUUAUUGGACAAAGGCUUUAUUCGAGCCGGCUCCUCACCAUGGGGUUCGCCAGUUUUAUUCGCCUAGGAAAAAGGAUGGGACACUGAGACUGUGUAUAGACUAUCGAGCUCUCAAUAUGGUCACCAUCAAAAACAAAUAUCCGAUGCCACGGAUAAAUGAUUUGUUUGACCAGCUCGCACAAGCCAAGGUGUUCUCAAAAAUUGAUUUGAGAUCGGGAUAUCACCAUUUGAAAGUACGGACAGAAGAUAUCCCUAAGACAGCAUUCACCUCCGGAUACGGAUUAUAUGAAUUCACAGUGAUUCCUUUUGGUCUAACGAACGCCCCCGCAUAUUUCGUCCACCUCAUGAACAAAGUGUUCAUGAAAUUCAUGGACAAAUUUGUUGUGGUGCUCAUUGACGAUAUUCUGGUAUAUUCAAGGACACCAGAAGAGCACGCUGAGCAUCUCAGAAUUGUUUUGGGAGAAUUGAGGAAACAUCAGUUGUAUGCCAAAUUUAGCAAGUGUGAAUUUUGGCUAAGGCAAGUUGGUUUCCUUGGCCACAUAUUAAACCAAGAAGGCGUGGCCGUAGACCCAGAGAAGGUCAAAGCCAUACUUGACUGGAAGCCACCAGCCAACGUGACAGAUGUGCGGAGUUUCCUCGGGAUGGCCGGAUAUUACAGAAGAUUUAUUGAAGGAUUCUCCACUGUAGCAAAACAAUUGACCCAGUUGCUCAAGAAAGACAAGAAGUUUGUAUGGACGGAAGCAUGCGAGAGAAGCUUCCAAGAACUUAAGAAGAAGCUAACAACCGCACCAGUAUUAACCGUGCCAGACAUACACAAUAGUUUUGAAGUAUAUUGUGACGCGUCCCGAAAAGGCCUCGGAUGUGUACUAAUGCAAGAUGGCAAAGUUGUCGCGUAUGCCUCCAGGCAGCUGCGAAAACAUGAGGAAAAUUACCCAACACAUGACUUGGAACUAGCAGUAGUCAUACAUGCACUCAAGGAGUGGAGGCACUUCCUGUUGGGAAAUCGGUGUGAAAUAUAUACGGACCAUAAGAGCCUUAAAUAUAUUUUCACACAACCAGAGCUAAAUUUACGCCAACGACGCUGGUUGGAAUUGGUCAAGGACUAUGAUGUCGGUAUUCACUACCAUCCAGGGAAAGCAAAUGUAGUGGCCGAUGCCCUUAGUCGGAACCCCAGCCCAUACAAGGACAGUCCACAAAACAUGAGGCCUGAGUUUCAGCAAGAGUUCGCCAGGCUCAACAUGGUGUUAGUCUCUGAGGGCACCAUAUCAAAUCUGGGGAUACAACCCACCCUAGUGGAACAAAUUAAGAAGGCUCAGCAAGGACAUCCCAGCAUCGAAGGUAUAAGAAAGAAAAUGAACCUUGGUAAGGCUUCAGAGUUCGUCACAGACAGUGAAGGAAUAUUAUGGUACGGAGACAGACUUUGCGUACCUAACAUUGAGGAACUCAAGCAACAAAUCCUAACCGAAAGCCACACCGCUCCAUACUCGAUCCACCCUGGAGGAACCAAAAUGUACAAGGACAUUCAGGAAAGAUUUUAGUGGCACGGUAUGAAAAGAGAUAUAGCCACAUUUAUUGUUUGUUGCGAUUCAUGUCAGCGCAUCAAGGCCGAGCAUCAAAAGCCAGCAGGGCUACUCCAGCCAAACAGGAUACCGGAGUGGAAAUGGGAUGAAAUAGGAAUGGACUUCAUCGUCGGACUACCCCGAUCACAACGUGGAAAUGACGCCAUAUGGGUCAUCACAGACCGACUAACCAAGGUUGCUCAUUUCAUUCCCGUGAAGAUGACCUACUCCACACAAAGGCUAGCCAAGCUUUAUCUCUCUCGUAUAGUCUGUCUGCAUGGAGUCCCAAAAACUAUAAUAUUCGACCGAGGCACCCAAUUUGUCUUCAAAUUUUGGGAUCACCUGCAACAAGCUCUGGGCACGCAACUAGCAUUCAGUACAGCGUACCACCCUCAAACUGAUGGACAGACAGAACGCGUAAACCAAAUCCUAGAGGAUAUGCUGAGAGCCUGUGUGCUCACUUAUGGGUCCAGUUGGGAAGAGAGUUUGCCGUAUGCCGAGUUUGCUUACAACAACAGUUACCAAGCCAGCUUGCAAAUGGCACCCUUUGAAGCAUUGUAUGGACGGAGGUGUCGUACCCCACUGAAUUGGUCAGAAACAGGUGACAGCCGUAUCUUCGGCCCAGACAUGCUUAAAGAGGCCGAGGAGAAAGUUAAACAGAUCAGGGACAGACUCAAGACAGCACAAAGCCGACAAAAGAGCUACUACGAUCAAAAACAUCGUGAGGUCAGCUUUGAACCCGGUGAUUCUGUAUACCUACGAGUGUCUCCUAUGAGGGGCCUGCAACGGUUCAAAAUUAAGGGGAAGCUAGCCCCGAGAUUUAUUGGACCAUUCUGUAUAAUUGCACGAAGAGGCACGGUAGCCUACUAGCUAGAUCUACCCAAGGAGCUGUCAGACGUCCAUGACGAAUUCCACGUCUCGCAACUGAGAAAAUUUAUGAGUAACCCGGAGAAGCAUGUAUCCCAUGAGAGCAUCGAUGUACAACCAGACCUCACCUACAGAGAAAGGCCAGUAAAGAUAUUGGAAGUGUCUGAACGGAGGACCCGUCAGAAAACGACAAAAAUUUUCAGAGUUCAGUGGAGCAACCACACUGAGGAUGAAGCUACUUGGGAAAGAGAAGAUUUUCUUCAGGCAGAGUAUCCAUAUCAAUUUGAGGAUCAGCAGUAAUCUCGAGGACGAGAUUUUUCCUAAGGGGGUAGGUGUUGUGACACCCAAAAUUUUAUUUGGCCUUUUCAAAAAAUUUAUUUGACUUGAGGGAGGUGAUUUAAAUUUUUCCUUCAAAAGAACCCUCCCUUUCAAAAUAUUUUUAUGGCAAGAGUUUUAUUUGGUUUCACCCAAGACUUGAUUUUGGUCUUGGAGGUUCUUGCUUUUUAUUUUGGACUCAAGCCAAAUUGCCUUUCACUUGGGAAAAAUGUCUUUUGAAAAUUUCUUUGAAAAUGCUCCAUAGCUUUUAGAAUAAUCCUUUACCACUUUCAACAAAUCUCUCAUGCCAUGACCUUAGUGCAAAUCCACUCUCCUAAACCUUCCCUCAUCUUUGGAUCAUGAUUUGCAUCAAAUCUAGCAAGUUGAACCUCCCCAUAUAUUUAUUUUCCAUUUAAAUCUUAUCAAAACAAUUUCUGCCUUCUAUUCUAGCCCUUGGAGAUUUACAAAGGAGCUACCAUUUCUGUUUUGAUUUUUGCCCCCAAACCAAUUCCCCUUCCUAGUCCUUGAGCCCUCAACCAAGAUCCAUGAAGAUCCACUGGUCUUCAGUUCAAAUUUUUCAAACUAGACUUGCUGCAAGUUUGGACCAGAUUUGCCAAAUUUGAUGAAAUUCAUUUAAAUUCUUCUCCUAAAAAUCUGAGAAAAAUCAGGCAACCCCUGGGUGCAUUGAGAGGUCACCUCAACAAGUCCCAGCCCCAGGAAAAAAUUUCUCCUUGCCAAAUCAUUCUGUCGAACACCUGCAGAGCAUUGUCAAAAUCAGGUUCAGUCAAAUUCAGAGAAUAGUUGAGUGUUGCUGUCGUUUUCUUCAGUGUUCGAUCUCAAUCUCGCCAGUGCCCCGGUGUCGCCUUGCUCCCCGUCCCCUCCCCCUUGUUCCUGCGCCGCACGAUCCCCUGGAACCUUCCGGACGUCGGCGACGAGCAAGAGGAGGUGCGCCGCCCCGUGACCGACGGCAGCGGCGGCUUUGCGGCCGCCAGAGAGGGGCGCAGCGUAGACGGCGCCGCCCAAGCCACCGGAGGCCGCCGCGUGGCCACCCACUCCCCAGUGCACGCUGCCACCCUCGUCGUGAACCGCUGGGCACGGAGCGCGCUCUCUGCCGCCGUCGUGCCCGUGCGGCCACCCCACCGUGGACCGGCGGCAUUACGCCAAGACCGACCGGGAUUAGCGGGGGAACGGGACCAGUAACUCCCACUGAUGCUGCCUGGCCACCUAAACCCCCUGCCAAUCCACUGCCUCGCCGUAAUUGCUCGCCGGAGAUUCUCCGUUCACGGCCACCCCCUCGAUCCGCCUAUAAAUAGAGGCCCCGAGCUUCAACUCGAACCCACACCACCUCUGCACUCCACCUAGACCACACCAAGCCACUUGAAGACCCCCGAGGGAGCUUUCUUCCCCGACUCCGGCCGCCGCGACCCGCGACGGGAUCCAGCUCGAUUCGCUCCCGUGCGUGCACCUCUGCCUCCCAUCUCUUGCCAGUAGCUCUCUAGUGCAUCCCUCCUUCUGACCCGCGCUUCAAUUCGAAGUUUGCAGCACCGACCGGAGUUCUCCACCAUCACCCGAGCCGCCGUCCGCCGGAGAAAGUUUCGCCGUCGACGUGGUGAUCUCCGACACUCGAGUCCACUACCCACUGAGGCGGAAGGACACGCUGAAGCUCUUGGUACACUCCGAUCUCCCUGUCUCGCCGUGGUUCGAUGCCGGCGACCACCGCAGUCUUCGGGCGCCGGCGAACUUUUAAAACCUGACAUGUGGACCCCCCCUGUCAGCCUCUAUUCUCUUCUCCCUCGAAACGUUUUCUGUUGGCGCCUUCGGGCAAAUACGUUUUCUCUUUGAGCUGGCGCAUUUCUUUCCGAAGCGUUUUCUGUUUUCUCAGUUAAGCCCCUGGAACUUCUCUGUUUCAUUACAGAUAAGUCCCUGGACAGAAACCCUUAUAACUUUUUAAUAAAAAGUGAUUUUUGAGUGAUUCUUUUUCGGGCAAUCUUAUAAUUUUGUCUAGUUUUUUAUGCGAUUUAUUUGGAAAAAUUUUGGAACAACUUUUAUGCACGCGUUGGUUUUCACGUUAGUAUGCUUCUUCGCUAUACCGUAGGUUCCGGAAGAGGUGACGGAGCCGCGAACUUCGCCGAGCUAGACUCCGACUUCUCCGAACCAGGAAAGCAUGUUUGAACCUUUGAACGUUGCCGAGGGUGAUUCCUGGCUUCGGAAUGUUGAAUGGGUGUGUACUGGUUAGAUGUGUUUCUUCCAAAACACCGUAGACGGAACUAGUCCCCGUGACUACUGAAAUCCGCUGGCUGUGGUUGAAGUACAAACUCUGCAGAGUCAAAUCCUUCCGAGUCAUCAUAUCCAUGGUCAAGUAUCGUGAUCAGCGUAUCCAUGUCUAUGUCAUAACCUCGUAGUAUAUUCUUCGUUCCGGUCAGCAAGCUUGAGUAGUAGACUUGGCUGAACAUUAUUCCUGUGGAUGGACUAACCCCGUUGUUUACCUCAUGUCUGCUUGUUCUCUUGAUAUGAUUUAUAAUUCAUGAACUACUAAGUGUUGAAUAUAUGCCCUUUCUGUGAUGUCGCUCAGACGUCCGACUGUGGCAUGUUUGUCUAUUACUUUCAAUAUAAGCCCUUUACGUGAUGUCGCUCAGACGUCCGACUGUGGCACGCAAUGUCUUUAUUUUUCUGUCAUAAGCCCUUUAUGUGGUGUCGCCCCAACGCCCGACUGCGGCAUUAUUAUUCUUGCAGUUUCCUCUCGAGGAGUCAUUCAGACCCUCGUUUGGCACCGGUAUUAUUAUUCAUGCAGUUUCCUCUCGAGGAGUCAUUCAGACCCUCGUUUGGCACCCAGUAUUUAUUUUGGGAUUUCGGGAGGACUACCGCCCGACUUCUCUGUUAUUUCCCUAUGCAUUAUUAUCUCUAUGUCUGAACGCACUUGUUAAUCUAUUCAUAUGCUUCAUGUUUACAUUUGUUAUAUCUUAUGUCCGAACUGUCUUGCGAGUACUUUCAUAGUACUCACCUGGCUUGUUGAUUUGGCCAGAUGUUGACGAAGGCGAUCUCAUGGAUGAAGAGUUUGAUAGUGCGUCCGACGCCUAGAGGAGUCCCAGUCAGUCCCGUGCGAUCCUGGAUAUUGGUCACUUGUAUUAUAUACGCUUCCGCCACCCGCAAUAAGUCUCCUCGAGCCUCACUCCGACGCUCGAAGAGCUGUAGUUUUCAGGAGUCAUAUCACCCACUUCGCAGUUAUAUUUCCACCACCGUUGUUAUCGUGAGUUAGUAGUCUUGCCACCCUAUCCGCCGUUAUGUUUUAUCGGCGUUCAUGUAAUAAAUUGUUGAGCAGUCUCCGCUCAACCUUGUAUUAUAUUCAGCACUCCUGGUAUUUUUCUUCUGUGACCAAGAUAUUGUCUACCAGUGAGAAGGAAUUCUUCUUUACUGGACCGUAAACGGGAUUGGUCUCUCAAUAAAUAUUUUAUUGAAAAACCGGUCGUGACACCAGCUCCAAGCGCCCGGCCACCAGGCGAGGGUCAGCGCCCUGGAGAUCUUCUCAUAGCCGAUUCAGUUUGCCAACAGCACGGUCCAAGGCGGCGGAGGAAGCAGAGGAGUCGGAGACCAGAGGAGCAGGAGGAGAAGAUGGCAGCGUGAUCACGGCAUGGGAGGCCGGGGGCUCCUGAGCCCUGGCAACCUUAGCAGCAGCAUCAAGCGCGGGCGCCUCAAGAGUCAGCGGGGCCACGGGGGCUGGCACCCCGCCAGAGCGCCCCUCCUGGCCUCGCAAGGAUGAUCGGGCAAGGGGAGGUGCAAGCUCCACCGCCUCCCCUUCCCGCUAGCGAAGGCGCGGCCACAGCGCUCGAGCUUGCCCCGGGCAGGGCCGGCGUGUCCCCCUUCAGCCUUUUCGCCGCAGACAGUGGAAGAUAUCAAGCCCCGACAGCAAAAGUGAGAGCAAAGCAGAAUCCGUAGUACUUACUGGCUAGUCGUGGCGAGCUCCAGCGGCCUCCUGCCGAGCUUAAAGCCCAAGAGCCUCUUGCGGGCGCAGCUUCGGGAGGUCCGGCAGCAGAACAGGGCGCACCGGAGGGGCCAGAGCUAGCUUCGGGUGGUGCCGGGGAGAUCAGCCCUGACCUGUCCUUCUUCGGAAUCAUGGGCGGUCCCCUCUCCCUCGCUUGGCGUCUGCCUCGUCGUCGUCCGUCAGGUUGCGAAGGAUGUCAACCCUGCGCCAGGGGGAAGUCUCCCCAGUCCGCUUGGUGGACCCCUCCAAGCCGCGCUUCUCCCCAUCAUCGUCAUCCUCCCCUCCGUGAAAAUCAUCGGAGGACAACUCCACCGUUGCCGCCGCCGCCUGGUCCUCAGGAGGCACCGCCGGCACCAGACCGACCUCGUCAAAGGUGGGCAUGGCGUCUACCACCCGCUCCCGGUCGUCGCGAAGGAUAAAAGGGGCCGAAGCGCCGUCCAAGCUCGCCACGUCCUCUCCGACCAGGAAGCGGAGAGCUGCGAUCAGAUCUUCAUCUUCCAGGGCCCCCGAGUUCAGGCGGAGAUCGGCGUCCGCCUCCUCGAGCCUCCACAACGGGCGCGAGUGCGCCUGAAGAGGGGCCACCCGAUGCGCCAGGAACUCCCUCAGGAGCGUGGCCCCGGUCAGCUUCGCCGCCUUCAUGUUGCUAGGCCUCAGGUCAGACUUCAUCUUCUCCAGCACUAGCUUCGCCCGCUGGUCGUCAAGCUUCGCGCGGGACCAUGACUCGUCGGCCUGAGGCUGCCCCAUGGGCAGCGCCAGCCGAGAGUUGAUGCAUCUGGCAUCCAGCAUGACCCACUUGCUCCGGAAGCCGUCAGCCCUCUUCCCGGCCUUUGAGAUUGCGUUGGCCUUGGAGUACGCAAUAAAGCUAGCGCACGCAGAGGUAUGCCCGCCGGUGACUCGGAGGAAGAAGAAGUGGCGCAGUAGUGCCAUGGAAGGCAUCACCCCGACGUGAGCCUCGCAGUAGUAGGCGAAGAUCGACAGCGGAAGAACAGAGUUGGGAUGGAGAUGCAGAGCCAACAGCUUGUAUUGGCGGAGGACGGCAUAAAAGAACUCGGAGAAAGGAGGCACCAGACCGGCUAUGACGGCGCUCAUGAAGAAGGGGUAGAAGAUGCUCCCCUUGUCCUCCGGCUGAGCAGAGCCGGGCCGAAGCGCGGUCUCCCCCAUCUCGCUGCCUUUCGCCGCUGUCAUCAGGCGCGUAAGGGCGAGGUUCUUCUCCGUCAUGUUUGGGGGAUCUAGAGCUGGCGAAUACUAGGCCGGUGGAGCCGCGGCCGCGGUCUUGCGGGGCGCCAUCGCUCGCUGAAGGAGAAAGGAUGAAGCGGAUCUGGAGAUUUUUGAAACAGGAGGGCAAGAGCAAGAAAGGGGAUCUGGAGUAAGGCCAAUGUGAGCAAUGGAGGCAAGCUUGGACCGAGCCAGCCUUUUUGUCAGAUGGGCAGUUGCCGAGGCAGCGUGAGGAGGUGGAGACGCCCACGUCCAAUCAACCGCCACGCGGCGACCAAGGCUGCAGGCUGUUGGGGCCCGCGGCACUCCGCACUUACCCUUUCGCUUCGCUGCUGAGCCAAGCCCGAGCGCGCCUUGGGCCCGGGGGCUACUGUCGGCAUUCUGGGAACGGGGGUCCCCGGACUUGCUUGCCUCCGGCCUGCAGCGUGGCUCAAGGGGUGUCCCAGUACGGCCCUUCUUCAUCAACUCAAGCUUAAGACCCUCGCGGGGCGGACGAUGCAAGGCUUCCUCAGGAACGGCCUCACGAGGCUGGCUCGCGAGGAGGCGGAGAGAUCAAGGCAAGGGUACCUCACGAGGUGCUCGUGAUGCAAGCCAUGACGAUCAAGGCCAGGCGGGCGCCGUCCUGCGCAGUGUCCUUGUUUCCUCUUUGGUGCAAAGGGGGCAAGCAUAGGCGCGGAGUACCGAGGCAUCAAGCAAAGCUUACCAUUCCGGUGCAACGAGACCAAGACCAGCAGGGCAGCAGGACAGAGGUCACCGUGGAGCCCAAGACGACGUCAUCACCGGUGCUUUUGGCAGCCGAAGACCACCUUUAGUCAGGAUAACUUGUACUAGAUGUUCCCCUUCAAAAUGGUCGUUGUUGGCGCCCUUCCCGCUCGAUAUUUGGGAAGAGGACCAGGGCAUCUAUAAAUAGGGCUAGCCACCACAGUAGGAGGCAACGAAGCCUCAGGCAUCUCAUCCAGACCUGAUCGGAUCCUUCCCAAGCAGAACACCACACCAGCUCAAGAACACCUCUCGCGAGGCUGUUCUUCCUCUAUACUGUUCAUCAUUAGCCCCUGAGGCAAUCCACCACACCACACGGUGGAUUAGAGUAUUACACCACAACGGUGGCCCAGACCAGUAUAAACCUCGUGUCUCUUGUGGUCUUGAUCGUGUAGCUUAGAUCCUCAGCGAGGUGUUCGGGCGUGGAUCGGUAGGGGGAAGAUCUCCGUGCGCACCCCAAAGUUCGAACCUUAAUUGUUUUGCCAGAACCUCAUAUCCGACAGAAAGUUUGGCCAAUAUCAGCAACAAAGUUUGCCCAAAAUCUAGUCACCCCCAAGAAGUCCAGUUCAUGUUGUACCAAGAGUGCUUAAAGCAGUAGGGCAAACAAAAAAUAUAUAACAAUGAGGUCCAUUGAUUUCUGCUUUAAAAGGUUAUGCUUGAAGAACUAAGCUCCAGGCCCACUACUACAAGUUUCUGUUUCAAGUUUGGCACUUGCUGUCCGACACAAGUAGGGCCAUGAACAAGUUUCUAUUUCAAAAAACUUCGUGUACCCAUCAUUUUCAGUAUGCAUGUACUGUACUAGAAAAUGUGAAGCACCAAUCACUUUAAGAACAGUAGCCGGGACACCCUCGAACAGAGGGAAUCAUUAUGGACAGAAGCACAAGCCUAUAGUGCUACUUCAGCAAUAAGAUCACUUUGCAACUACGAAUCCUACAGCGCAUCACAUGAACUACCAGAUAGGGCUACAAGCUACUUUGCAGAGAUCGCCAUAAUCACCCAUGUCGCCCUUGCUCUAGUAUCACAAAGUAAACUAUACCAGGUAGCGGCAAGCAGAUCUGAGAUGGGUGGUUACCUUCAUGCUGGAAGGACUGGCGCUGGCCAGGCAGGGUGCGCUGGGCGACGGUGCGGGCGACGAUGACGAUGA
rnacentral:lncRNA from 1 species